rnacentral:lncRNA from 1 species
AGAAGUCUACCUGUGCCUGCGCCCGCCGGACCUGCCGGCCUCUUCCUUCUCAUCCAGGGGGCCUCUUCUCCAGCCUCACGGAGGUGGGAAGCUUGCUGGAGGCCCCUACCUGCCUUUUGGGGAAGACCCCGAGGCUGGCCCACGCCCUGCUGGCAGGACCCUUCCUGACUGGGUCCACCGUUCUUCUGGGUCUCACCACUUCUCCCAGCCCCUGGGCUGCUUCCUCUCUCCCGUGUCUGGGACCCCAGAGGCACCACUUCCAUUCCAUACAAGGUAAGAGUCCCAAGGAGAGGCCGGGCACGGUGGCUCACGCCUGUAAUCCCAGCACUUUGGGAGGCCGAGGCGGGCGGAUCACGAGGUCAGGAGAUCGAGACCAUCCUGGCUAACACGGUGAAACCCCGUCUCUACUAAAAAUACAAAAAAUUAGGGCGUGGUGGCGGGCGCCUGUAGUCCCAGCUACUCGGGAGGCUGAGGCAGGAGAAUGGCGUGAACCCGGGAGGCGGAGCUUGCAGUGAGCCGAGAUGGCGCCACUGCACUCCAGCCUGGGCGACAGAGAGAGACUCCGUCUCAAAAAAAAAAAAAAAAAAGUCCCAAGGAGAAAUUGGAGAGGCUCUCCUAUGAAAAUCCAUCUCACCAUUCCUUUUCUGAGGAGUCCACAGGACCUGUACAGUUGGAACCAGCCCCUCAGGCUUCCCUGCCAGAGCCCUUUUCUCCAGGAGCAGAGGCAUCCAUCCCCUCCUGCCAGCAUUCCAGACCCUGGAGGGCUUGCGCGGUGGCAGGUUUUCCCUUGAAUGCUGAGGCGAGGCUGAGGGAAAGCUUGCAGAGUCAAGACGAACUCUAACUCAUGGGAUGGACAAACUGGAAGAUGUAAAAUAAGUAAGGCUUUCUGGGCCAAAAAGCCUCUUCUUACAGAAAAUCAAAUUUUAAAAGAACAUUGACCUCAAAACAAUAAAACUGUCCUGGUUAUGCAAUAGAAAUAGCUAUAUAAAUGGAAUCAUAUCCUUAAUGAACACCUCCUGUGGCUACCCAACUUUUCACACAUCUUACUGAUUAUAGGCCUUGCUGUGAAUGCUUUCUUGCUCUAUCUGAAGUAUUCCCACCAGAGUUGUUUCCAACUUUAUUUCCUAUAUUAUGAAAAAUGAAGUUUUUUUAACAUUGUAACAAAGUAUAUGAAAGAUAAUGUAUACUGUAUUAAAUAAACCAUUAUACAAAAA